UCCUGGUGGCUCAGACGGUAAAGCGUCUGCCUACAAUGCAGGAGACCUGGGUUCGACACCUGGGUCAGGAA
rfam:Ovis aries breed Texel chromosome 1, whole genome shotgun sequence.